UCCUACGGGGGGCAGCAGUAGGGAAUCUUCCACAAUGGACGAAAGUCUGAUGGAGCAACGCCGCGUGAGUGAAGAAGGGUUUCGGCUCGUAAAGCUCUUUUGGGAGUGAAGAAAGAUAGAGGGAGUAACUGGCCUUUAUUUGACGGUAAUUACUUAGAAAGUAACGGCUAACUACGUGCCAGCAGCCGCGGUAAUACGGAGGUGGCAAGCGUUGUCCGGAUUUUUUGGGCGUAAAGCGAGUGCAGGCGGGUUCAAAAAGUCUGUGGAGAAAGCCUUUGCUCAAACCGGGAGAU
rnacentral:rRNA from 1 species